rnacentral:rRNA from 1 species
GCCACGAGCCGCGGUAAUACGGAGGAUGCAAGCGUUAUCCGGAAUUAUUGGGCGUAAAGCGUCCGUAGGUGGCCGUUCAAGUCUGCCGUUAAAACCAGUAGCUUAACUACCGUAACGGCGGUGGAAACUGUACGACUAGAGUACGGUAGGGGUCGCGGGAAUUCCCAGUGUAGCGGUGAAAUGCGUAGAUAUUGGGAAGAACACCAGCGGCGAAAGCGCGCGACUGGACCACAACUGACACUCACAGGACGAAAGCUAGGGGAGCGAAAGGGAUUAGAUACCCCUGUAGUCCUAGCCGUAAACGAUGGAUACUAGGUGUUGUGAGUAUCGACCCUCACAGUGCCGGAGCCAACGCGUUAAGUAUCCCGCCUGGGGAGUACGCACGCAAGUGUGAAACUCAAAGGAAUUGACGGGGGCCCGCACAAGCGGUGGAGUAUGUGGUUUAAUUCGAUGCAACGCGAAGAACCUUACCAGGGCUUGACAUGUCGCGAAUCUUGGGGAAACCUAAGAGUGCCUUCGGGAGCGCGAACACAGGUGGUGCAUGGCUGUCGUCAGCUCGUGUCGUGAGAUGUUGGGUUAAGUCCCGCAACGAGCGCAACCCUCGUUUUUAGUUGCCAGCAUUAAGUUGGGCACUCUAAAGAGACUGCCGGUGACAAACCGGAGGAAGGUGGGGAUGACGUCAAGUCAGCAUGCCCCUUACGUCCUGGGCUACACACGUACUACAAUGCUACGGACAAAGGGCAGCAAGUUAGCGAUGACAAGCAAAUCCCAUAAACCGUGGCUCAGUUCAGAUUGUAGGCUGCAACUCGCCUACAUGAAGGCGGAAUCGCUAGUAAUCCCAGGUCAGCAUACUGCAG